rnacentral:rRNA from 1 species
AACGAACGCUGGCGGCAGGCUUAACACAUGCAAGUCGAGCGCCCCGCAAGGGGAGCGGCAGACGGGUGAGUAACGCGUGGGAAUCUACCCAUCCCUACGGAACAACUCCGGGAAACUGGAGCUAAUACCGUAUACGCCCUUCGGGGGAUAGAUUUAUCGGGGAUGGAUGAGCCCGCGUUGGAUUGGCUAGUUGGUGGGGU